rnacentral:rRNA from 1 species
AUUGAACGCUGGCGGCAUGCUUUACACAUGCAAGUCGAACGGUAACAGGGAGCUUGCUCCGCUGACGAGUGGCGAACGGGUGAGUAAUGCGUCGGAACGUGCCGAGUAGUGGGGGAUAACGCAUCGAAAGGUGUGCUAAUACCGCAUACGUACUGAGGUAGAAAGUGGGGGACCUUCGGGCCUCACGCUAUUCGAGCGGCCGACGUCUGAUUAGCUAGUUGGUGAGGUAAAGGCUCACCAAGGCGACGAUCAGUAGCGGGUCGGAGAGGAUGGUCCGCCACACUGGGACUGAGACACGGCCCAGACGCCUACGGGAGGCAGCAGUGGGGAAUUUUGGACAAUGGGCGCAAGCCUGAUUCAGCCAUGCCGCGUGUCUGAAGAAGGCCUUCGGGUUGUAAAGGACUUUUGUCCGGGAGCAAAUGCCUGGUGUUAAUAGCACUGGGAGCUGAGAGUACCGGAAGAAUAAGCACCGGCUAACUACGUGCCAGCCGCCGCCGUAAUAC